AUUGAACGCUGGCGGCAGGCCUAACACCUGCAAGUCGAACGAGUGGCGGACGGGUGAGUAAUGUCUGGGAAACUGCCCGAUGGAGGGGGAUAACUACUGGAAACGGUAGCUAAUACCGCAUACCAUCGGAUGUGCCAAGAUGGGAUUAGCUAGGAGGUGGGGUAACGGCUCACCUAUGCGACGAUCCCUAGCUGGUCUGAGAGGAUGACCGGCCACACUGGAACUGCGACAGGGUCCAGACUCCUCCGGGAGGCAGCAGUGGGGAAUAUUGCGCAAUGGGCGCAAGCCUUGUGCAGCCAUGCCGCGGGUAUGAAGAAGGCCUUCGGGUUGUAAAGUACUUUCAUCGAGGAGGCGUUACUCGCAGAAGAAGCACCGGCUAACUCCGUGCCAGCAGCCGCGGUAAUUC
rnacentral:rRNA from 1 species